rnacentral:rRNA from 1 species
GUCGAGCGGACAGAAGGGAGCUUGCUCCCGGAUGUUAGCGGCGGACGGGUGAGUAACACGUGGGUAACCUGCCUGUAAGACUGGGAUAACUCCGGGAAACCGGAGCUAAUACCGGAUAGUUCCUUGAACCGCAUGGUUCAAGGAUGAAAGACGGUUUCGGCUGUCACUUACAGAUGGACCCGCGGCGCAUUAGCUAGUUGGUGAGGUAACGGCUCACCAAGGCGACGAUGCGUAGCCGACCUGAGAGGGUGAUCGGCCACACUGGGACUGAGACACGGCCCAGACUCCUACGGGAGGCAGCAGUAGGGAAUCUUCCGCAAUGGACGAAAGUCUGACGGAGCAACGCCGCGUGAGUGAUGAAGGUUUUCGGAUCGUAAAGCUCUGUUGUUAGGGAAGAACAAGUGCAAGAGUAACUGCUUGCACCUUGACGGUACCUAACCAGAAAGCCACGGCUAACUACGUGCCAGCAGCCGCGGUAAUACGUAGGUGGCAAGCGUUGUCCGGAAUUAUUGGGCGUAAAGGGCUCGCAGGCGGUUUCUUAAGUCUGAUGUGAAAGCCCCCGGCUCAACCGGGGAGGGUCAUUGGAAACUGGGAAACUUGAGUGCAGAAGAGGAGAGUGGAAUUCCACGUGUAGCGGUGAAUUGUGUAGAGAUGUGGAGGAACACCAGUGGCGAAGGCGACUCUCUGGUCUGUAACUGACGCUGAGGAGCGAAAGCGUGGGGAGCGAACAGGAUUAGAUACCCUGGUAGUCCACGCCGUAAACGAUGAGUGCUAAGUGUUAGGGGGUUUCCGCCCCUUAGUGCUGCAGCUAACGCAUUAAGCACUCCGCCUGGGGAGUACGGUCGCAAGACUGAAACUCAAAGGAAUUGACGGGGGCCCGCACAAGCGGUG